AACGCAACUUGCACUCUAGGUUGUCCUAGAGUAUGCCUAUUUGAGUAUCGUACACACCCCACUCGAGCCGCGAGGCUUGGAUUUUGAGUUUUGUGCCUUGGCACCAACUUGAAUUGGAGUGAAUCGGGUCUAUGCGCGCGUGUCGUGCUGCUGCCCUGUUCUGACGUGAUAGCAAAUCUCGUCAGCUUGGUGCACAUCACCUCCGGCCAUACGCCUCUCACACCCCUUCUUUUGACUAUCGAUCUCAAAUUAGGUAGGACUACCCGCUGAACUUAA
rnacentral:misc_RNA from 1 species